rnacentral:tRNA from 1 species
GGAGAUGUGGCUCAGUGGUUAAGAGCACUGACUGUUCUUCCAGAGGUCCUGAGUUCAAUUCCCAGCAACCACA